rnacentral:rRNA from 1 species
GUAAAAGUCGUAACAAGGUUUCCGUAGGUGAACCUGCGGAAGGAUCAUUAUUGAAAUAAAUCUGAUGAGUUGCUGCUGGUUCUCUAGGGAGCAUGUGCACACUUGUCAUCUUUAUAUCUCUCCACCUGUGCAUUUUUUGUAGACCUGGAUAUCUCUCUGAAUGCUAGCCACUCAGGUUUGAGGAUUGACUUUAUGUCUCUCCUUACAUUUCCAGGCCUAUGUUCUUCAUAUACCCAAUGUAUGUUCCUAGAAUGUAAUAAAUGGGCUUUGUGUGCCUAUAAAGCUAUACAACUUUCAGCAACGGAUCUCUUGGCUCUCGCAUCGAUGAAGAACGCAGCGAAAUGCGAUAAGUAAUGUGAAUUGCAGAAUUCAGUGAAUCAUCGAAUCUUUGAACGCACCUUGCGCUCCUUGGUAUUCCGAGGAGCAUGCCUGUUUGAGUGUCAUUUAAUAUAUCAACCUCUUCAGCUUUUGCUUGUUGAGUGGUUGGAUGUGGGGGUCUCUUUUUUGUUGGUCUUCUCAGAUCAGCUCCCCUGAAAUGCAUUAGCGGAACAAUUUGUGGACCGUUCAUUGGUGUGAUAACUAUCUACGCUAUUGACGUGAAGCAGGUUUAGCUUCUAACAGUCCAUUGACUUGGACAAAUUCCAUUAAUGUGACCUCAAAUC